CAGUAGCCGCGGUAAUACGUAGGUGGCAAGCGUUGUCCGGAAUUAUUGGGCGUAAAGGGCUCGCAGGCGGUUUCUUAAGUCUGAUGUGAAAGCCCCCGGCUCAACCGGGGAGGGUCAUUGGAAACUGGGAAACUUGAGUGCAGAAGAGGAGAGUGGAAUUCCACGUGUAGCGGUGAAAUGCGUAGAGAUGUGGAGGAACACCAGUGGCGAAGGCGACCCUCUGGUCUGUAACUGACGCUGAGGAGCGAGAGCGUGGGGGGCGAACGGGAUUAGAUACCCCGGUAGUCCCUGUCUCUUAUAC
rnacentral:rRNA from 1 species